GAGUUGGGAAUACCCGAAGCCUGUGAGCUAACUUUUAGAGGCAGCAGUCGAAGGUAGAAUCAAUGAUUGGGGUGAAGUCGUAACAAGGUAGC
rnacentral:rRNA from 1 species